UACGUAGGGUGCAAGCGUUAAUCGGAAUUACUGGGCGUAAAGCGUGCGCAGGCGGCUUUGCAAGACAGAUGUGAAAUCCCCGGGCUCAGCCUGGGAAUUGCGAUGGAGACUGCAAGGCUUGAAUCUGGCAGAGGGGGGUAGAAUUCCACGUGUAGCAGUGAAAUGCGUAGAGAUGUGGAGGAACACCGAUGGCGAAGGCAGCCCCCUGGGUCAAGAUUGACGCUCAUGCACGAAAGCGUGGGGAGCAAACAGG
rnacentral:rRNA from 1 species